rnacentral:rRNA from 1 species
AUUGAACGCUGGCGGCAGGCCUAACACAUGCAAGUCGAGCGGCGCGGCGGACGGGUGAGUAAUGUCUGGGAAACUGCCUGAUGGAGGGGGAUAACUACUGGAAACGGUAGUUAAUACCGCAUACUAUCAGAUUAGCCUAGGUCGGAUUAGCUAGUUGGUGGGGUAAAGGCCAACCAAGGCGACGAUCCGUAACUGGUCUGAGAGGAUGAUCGGCCAUACUGUAACUGAGACACGGUCCAGACUCCUACGGGAGGCAGCAGUGGGGAAUAUUGGACAAUGGGCGAAAGCCUGAUCGAGCCAUGCCGCGUGUGUGAAGAAGGUCUUCGGAUUGUAAAGCACUUUAAGUUGGGAGGCGUUACCAAAAGAAUAAGCACCGGCUAACUUCGUGCCAGCAGCCGCGGUAAUUC